rnacentral:rRNA from 1 species
CUACGGGAGGCUGCAGUGGGGAAUAUUGGGCAAUGGGCGCAAGCCUGACCCAGCAACGCCGCGUGAGGGAAGAAGGUUUUCGGAUUGUGAACCUCUGUCCUUGGGGACGAAGAAGUGACGGUACCCAAGGAGGAAGCUCCGGCUAACUACGUGCCAGCAGCCGCGGUAAUACGUAGGGAGCAAGCGUUGUCCGGAAUUACUGGGCGUAAAGGGUGCGUAGGCGGCAUAUUAAGUCAGGUGUGAAAUACUCGGGCUCAACCCGGGGGCUGCAUUUGAAACUGAUAUACUUGAGUGUGAGAGAGGAAAGUGGAAUUCCUAGUGUAGCGGUGGAAUGCGUAGAUAUUAGGAGGAACACCAGUGGCGAAGGCGACUUUCUGGCUCAUAACUGACGCUGAGGCACGAAAGCGUGGGGAGCAAACAGGAUUAGAUACCCCAGUAGUC